GCACAUAGCAAAUUCUGCCAAAAUGCCUUGCUAAAACUAUAAGGAAAUAAAUAAUGUUUUAAAAAAAUCCAUGAUGAAAACUGAAAUCCCAUAUAUUAACACCUUAUAAUACAAGAAUGAUUCCCAAAAUGUUUAGGUUAUGUGACAUUUUGAGGGUAAAAACUCAAAAAAAUAUGCAUUUCUGGAAAAGUUUUAAGGCUCUCAAAAUAUGGUAAAUAAAUAAAGCAUCUUUUUUGAAUAAUAAAGUCAUAUCUAUAAUGAAGUUCGUGCCAGCCCGUUUAUAUAAAAAAAAUUGGCCAGUAUCCACAACACAGCACAAACUUUUUUGUGUGUCAAAGAUUUGAGUCGUGUUGUAGUCGGUAUUUCCAAAUUUGUACCCUCAAUUUACAGUACUAAUCGAGGCCGAUCACAGGCCAUACCAUCUUAAUUAUGCAUUGAACAUGAAAUUUAAACCUUAAACUUGUUAUUCGUGGGUCACAUUGUUGGAUUGCAUCUAUUCGAUCACUUUUGUGGCCUGUUCUUGAAAAGCCGUAAUUACGUUGUUCCACUUCCUGUGCGGCAUCUUGUCGCGCAAUAAUAUAUAGUUGUAUUUUAGUAGAAAUGUGGAUUAAAGUGUUGUUGUACUUAUUUGUUAUAUGAUUUUGAUUCAUCAUAUUCCAAACCAUUGAAAUGUUUAUAUGUGGUGAAAUGUCAGUGUGAUUUAGAUAUAAAUAACAAUUCAAUUUCAUAAAUUUUCUUAUAGCGGAACUACUUCCGGAAUUGUGUGUCCGGUUGUGCUUCGGCUAUUGAUACAUCAACACGACGAGUAAACAUGAGGUUUCUUACAAAACCACGAUAUUAAUCAACGAUGCAGUAUUUAUGAAUAUAUAUAGUUUACUCCUUCACAAACUACAAGGACAGUCACACAGAGAACAAGAAAGACUGAAGGACAGAAAGUGAAAGCUGCAAAUCAAAAUCCAUCAGCUUAUGGCAACAGUGAUAUUCCUACAACUUCAAGGCAGGGGACAGUCACACAAAGAACAAAAAAGACUGAAGGACAGAAAGUGAAAGCAAGUCAGAAUCCAUCAUCUUAUGGCAACGGUGAUAAAACGAAUAUUCCUACAACUUCAAGAUCUCAAAGACUGCACCGAACCAAAUUUGUCGGGAGACGAAUAUCCCAUGAAUGGGUAGAAGAUGAGGGACACCGUAAAUGGUAUGAUGGGACUGUGAUGGGUGUGGAAUCUGGGAAGGAUGGUAGCCCUGAUGCUGUUUACGAAGUGAUGUAUGAUGGAGAUGAAGAGCUAUACAGCAUAGAUCAUCUGCAUACAGAUUUUCAGUCAGCAUCUGUUAAAUUUAUAGACCUCAUGUGAAUUCAGUUAUUUUGAAGAAAAUUAGAAACUUUUACAGAAAACAGUUUAUGGCAGGUAUUUCUUUAUUGCAUUAGUACUGACAGUUAUGCCAUAUACACCAAUAGAAAGAUAAUAAUUAGACGAACAUUUUCAUAUAUCACAUUCUGUACUUUUACACUGAUAUUAUAUAAUACAGUUUUUAAAAACUCAA